GGACAACCUACCCUUAGGUCGGGGAUAAACCCGGGAAACUGGGUAUAAUACCCGAUAGAUCUCGGCUGCUGGAAUGCAUCGAGAUCGAAAGCUCCGGCGCCUAAGGAUGGGUCUGCGGCCUAUCAGGUAGUAGUGGGUGUAGCGUACCUACUAGCCUACGACGGGUACGGGUAGUGAGAGCAAGAGCCCGGAGAUGGAUUCUGAGACACGAAUCCAGGCCCUACGGGGCGCAGCAGGCGCGAAAACUUUACAAUGCGAGAAAUCGUGAUAAGGGAACCCCGAGUGCCCGUAAAUUCGGGCUGUUAAUCUGUGUAAAAAGCAGGUGGAGAAAGGGCCGGGCAAGACCGGUGCCAGCCGCCGCGGUAACACCGGCGGCUCGAGUGGUAACCGUUAUUAUUGGGUCUAAAGGGUCUGUAGCCGGCCGGAUAAGUCUCUUGGGAAAUCUGGCAGCUUAACUGUCAGGCUUUCAGGAGAUACUGUCUGGCUCGAGGCCGGGAGAGGUGAGAGGUACUUCAGGGGUAGGGGUGAAAUCUUGUAAUCCUUGAAGGACCACCAGUGGCGAAGGCGUCUCACCAGAACGGACCUGACGGCAAGGGACGAAAGCUAGGGGCACGAACCGGAUUAGAUACCCGGGUAGUCCUAGCCGUAAACGAUACUCGCUAGGUGUCGGCCACGGUGCGACCGUUGUCGGUGCCGUAGGGAAGCCGUGAAGCGAGCCACCUGGGAAGUACGGCCGCAAGGCUGAAACUUAA
rnacentral:rRNA from 1 species